rnacentral:rRNA from 1 species
CAGUCGAACGGAGUUGAAGGAGCGUGCUUUUUUCAACUCAGUGGCGGACGGGCGAGUAACGCGUGAGUAACCUGCCUUUCAGAGGGGGAUAACGUUCUGAAAAGAACGCUAAUACCGCAUAAGAUUGUAGUUUCGCAUGGAGCAGCAAUCAAAGGAGCAAUCCGCUGAAAGAUGGACUCGCGUCCGAUUAGAUAGUUGGCGGGGUAACGGCCCACCAAGUCGACGAUCGGUAGCCGGACUGAGAGGUUGAUCGGCCACAUUGGGACUGAGACACGGCCCAGACUCCUACGGGAGGCAGCAGUGAGGGAUAUUGGGCAAUGGGGGAAACCCUGACCCAGCAACGCCGCGUGAGGGAUGACGGUUUUCGGAUUGUAAACCUCUGUCCUCUGUGAAGAUAGUGACGGUAGCAGAGGAGGAAGCUCCGGCUAACUACGUGCCAGCAGCCGCGGUAAUACGUAGGGAGCAAGCGUUGUCCGGAUUUACUGGGUGUAAAGGGUGCGUAGGCGGAUUGGCAAGUCAGAAGUGAAAUCCAUGGGCUUAACCCAUGAACUGCUUUUGAAACUGUUAGUCUUGAGUGAAGUAGAGGUAGGCGGAAUUCCCGGUGUAGCGGUGA